AUGAACUUGAGCCAUGGACUAAAGAUGG
rnacentral:piRNA from 1 species